CGUGAGAUGUUGGGUUAAGUCCCGCAACGAGCGCAACCCUUAUCCCUAGUUGCUACGAAGGGCACUCUAGGGAGACUGCCGGUGACAAACCGGAGGAAGGUGGGGAUGACGUCAAGUCCUCAUGGCCCUUAUGUGUAGGGCUUCACACGUCAUACAAUGGUCGGUACAGAGGUCGCCAACCCGCGAGGGGGAGCCAAUCCCAGAAAACCGAUCGUAGUCCGGAUUGCAGUCUGCAACUCGACUGCA
rnacentral:rRNA from 1 species